rnacentral:tRNA from 1 species
GCGCACUUAGCUCAAAUGGUAAGAGCAUUGCUCUUGAAAGUUGAGGUUGUGGGUUUGAUUCCCACAGUGCACA